rnacentral:rRNA from 1 species
AACGUAGGUACCGAGCGUUAUCCGGAUUUACUGGGCGUAAAGCGCGUUCAGGCGGCUCAGCAAGUCGGGCAUGAAAUCUCUCGGCUCAACCGGGAGGGGCUGUCCGAAACUGCUGGGCUUGAGGGCAGUAGAGGGUGGUGGAAUUCCGGGUGUAGUGGUGAAAUGCGUAGAUAUCAGGAGGAACACCGGUGGCGAAGGCGGUUCUCUGGGCAUUACCUGACGCUGAGGAGCGAAAGUGUGGGGAGCGAACAGG